rnacentral:lncRNA from 1 species
GAGCCUGAGCGGAGUCUAGUUCCUGAGAAACCAGAACCUAAGGAGCAGAUGGAAGAAUGAAUGUCAGCAGAUUUGGAAGAUGAAGCUGAAUGACCUGUCUCAGGAUAAUGAUUUCUGACCUCUCAGAAUAAUACCAGCUGUUAGCUGGGCAUGAUGACACCUGUAAUCCUAGCACUCAGGAGGCUGAGGCAGGAGGAUUGCUUGGAGUUCAAGGCCAACCUGAAAUGCAGAGCGAGACCUUGUCUCAGAAAAAAAAAAGAAUACGUGAGCUGGUGAGGUCAAGUUGGAGUGAAAGCAGUACACACUGCCAAAGUCUGAAAAUGAAACUGAUGACAUCAGUAACUCCUUGCUAUUUUCUAGACAGCAGGAGAGAUGAAGAGUCUCUGGCUCUACCUCUUGCACCACGUACGUCAUCAUGGGAAUACCCAUCGACCCUUCUUGUCAUUCAAAGGCUGAAUUGAGUAUUUCAGAAACUGAACAGGAAUUGCGAUUACAGCUGGAGGAGAGUAAGGAGAAGUUUCAUGAACUCAAAGGACAUUUUCUUCUGUCUGAAGCUACUGUCUAUUCCAUGGCUAAUGAGCUAAAAAAACACAAUUGUCGAAAGUUCAAAGACAUUAUUGAGUCUGUUCUGGGCGAGAAGCUGCAGUACAAGGAAGAAAGUCUGGCUGAGAAGCUGAGCCUGGCCAAAAAUCAGAGGGAAUGCACUUUGCAAACUCAAGAUCAAGAUGGGAAGCUGUCCUUACUUCAGCAGAAAUUACAGCAGGGGAGACAUGCCUCAUUUCUCCUAUGUCAACAUCUCAAGGACAUCCUCACCCGGAAUGACCCUAAUACCAACCAGGGUCACUGCUUCCGUGAGCUACUGGCUGAAGGCGUCAGGCUGGCAGAGAACCUUGUGCAAUUGCUCAGUUCAGAUAAUCAUCAAGAUGAGGAGUGUAAAAAGGAACAUGAAUUACUGUCCCCCAGGAUGAACCCUGAGGGCGCAAACAAGGAAAAAAUUGAACAAAUACUGCAGGACUCACUGCUUGGAGACUUUACGCCUUCCUCCCAUGGCUGCAGCUUGUGUAACACCGAGGAGCCUCCUCGGACCACUGGCAAUCUGACAGAUGAACGUGAACUCUCCUUUUUCCUAGAAAAAAACUAUCCUCAGGAUGCUGAGAACCAAGACAAAGAGGCAGAGCCAGUGGAGCCCAGGUUUCUCCAAGAAAAGGAGGAUAAAAAUAAUGUACUGCAGGAGAAAAUGAAUGAGAACUUGUUGGCUAUUUCCCAUUGCCAGGACUUGUGUGUUUCCCACCAGCCUGGCAAGAGUCCAGCACCCGAGACUGAGGAGCAUGUAGCUCCCUCCAAUCUGAAUGUGACAAAAAACCAGGACAAUGAAGACAAUGAAAAAGAACAGGAAUUUCUGGCCCUCAGGCUGAGCACAGAGGGAAUGGAAAAGGAAAAAAUAACCGAACUCCUUCAAGAUUCAUUAGGUGAAGGCCCUAAGACACGCACCCGUCACUACAACUUACCUGACAACCAGGAGCCUUGCUGCACUGCAGCUGUGCUGGCAGAUGCACAUGAAGUCUCAUCAUCUCUGGAUGCAGCGCAAAAUACCCAUGAUUAUAAGGAUGAAGACCCACAACCAAAGGCCUCCAGGAAAUAUUUUGGCAUAAUUCAGGCUCAUGCCAAGAAGCUGUCCCAGCUACGAAAGCAGCUAAGUGAAGCGAAAGAUACCUCUUUGUCCCUUGGACAGCAUCUGGAAUUUCUACUCACCCAAGAUGACGCUGAAGGCUACCAGGUUCAGGGCCACAUACAACAACUGGCCCAGGGGUGCAAGAUGGCUGAGAAUCUUGUCCUGAAGCUCAGUGAAGGAAAUAAUGAACAGGGAAAUAAUGGAAAAGAAGAAAAAGAACUUCUUUCUAAAAUGGAUGAUGAGGAUGGGGAUUUCAAUUUUCUAAUUGAAGUUCAGGCUCAAGACCUGACUAAAUUUAGGCUGAAGUUGGAGGCAGGGAGAGAGACAGCCUUUAUGCUCCAUCAGACUCUCAGCAGUCUCUUCCCUGAAGAUGACCAACACGGACACCAGAUGCAGAGUCACAGAGACAGACUUGCUGAGGGGUGCAAGCUGGCCAAGUGCCUUGCAUGCAGACUUAGCUCAGAUAAUCUAGACGAGGAGAAUGAGGAUGAUCAAAUGAUCCUGGAUUCCAGUCUGUGCGAAGAGGAAGAAGGUGAACUUCUGCCACAUCCACUAGAUGAAAAGUACUUGCUCCCUACCUGUCAUCCUGAUGUGGCUGAGCCACAGGAAUGUGCAGGCGGCGAUGCCUCCCCAUCACAGAAGCCUGAACAGUACUCUGCUCUGGGUGGAUCCGCUACUAUGAAGGAGGCCUGUGCCCAAGGUCUGUCGAAUGGAGAAUUCAGCUCCCACUUCUCAGAGCUGCAAGCUUCCCAGGCACAGGUGGAAUCACGCAUCCAGGGGAACCCUCGUCUGGGAAUACAGCUGUGUCAGUACUUCGACUAUCCUGACUGCAAAGCCAGGCUGAGCCUUUCUUCUGCCACUUGGGGCUUUGCAGCAUCCACUCACUGUGGUAGCCAGUGCCAGCCCUUCCAAGAGCUGAAUUUGGAUGCUUCUUUUGGAAUCAAGGGUUCUCCCAAGCUGGAGGGUUAUGCCUUUGAAGGAUCAGCAGCUGUCAUUCGUGGGUUUCCGAUCCAUGGCCUCUGUGAUACUGACAGUGUCCUGAAGCAGAAGAUUAUGAAAACUAAACUCUGGCUGUGCAAGUGGAAAAGAGCUUGCAGAGUCCCAGGCCUUCAGCUGAAGAUGGGUAUUUCCCGUGGAAUGAAUAAUUAUUACAAGCUGGAAAGUGAUGCCUGUGCAGGCUCAGCUGCCAUCAUUCACAGGUUUCCAAUCCAUGACCUUUAUGAUGCUGACAGUGUCUCGAAAGAGAAGAUCACCAAGAAAGAACUACCAUUAUGCAAGUGGAAAAUAGCUUGCAGAUUUCCAGGACUUCAUGCUUAAGAGUGAAGGUAACCACAUCUAUGGCAUUGGACACACUUAUUAUUUUAACACUCUCACUAGGAUUGGAGUUCAUUUUACUACCAUUGUUUCUCUUUAUAAUUUGUUCCAUCUCUUCAAAUUUAUUCCAUCCAGUGGUUGAUAUAACUUUUGUACUGUUACACCACUAUUUUCCAUGGGUUUCUACCCUGCCUGGACCAUUAGUUUCCGUGCUCUGUGAGGACUCUGAAUUCUGCUUUGUUGGCAGUGCUGCUGUCCUGGGAUUCUUGGUAACGGUCACAGAGAAGCACAGCACAACAGUACUCCACAUCAUAGGAAGAAGGUCUUUUAAAUACAGAAAAUGUGCUGUGUCCCCUGGAAUCACACACUUUCUGGCUUUUCUUCCUUCUCUUGCCACCCUCCCUAACUCCACUAGCUUUUUGAUUUGGGAGCACAGACUUCAUUAACUCUUGCACCAAGAUCCUCCUCUUUGGCCUGCUUCAGAGAUCCAGACUAAGUCAACCUUUCAUUCUCAACUUAAACAUGCAAAUGAAGAGUGUUCAAAUGGAUGAGAAACAUCCCUUCUCACAAAAACUAAAUUGGAUACAUGGCUGUAUGUGGGAAAAUCAUUUCGGUCUUGAGACAGUUUUGCCCCCCGCCCCAUGCAGCCAUGUGAAAUGUCCAUAGAUUCUGUAGGUCUCAGCAUCUAUUCCUCAGGGACUCUUUUAAGCUGAUGUUAACUGGUUAUUGUGGUUGGCAUCCUAAAGGGACCUCUGCCUGGCAGUGAACGCAUGUUAGUAUAAGUGCAUAGACCAUGAUCUGUUUAAGCAUUGUCUGUUUGCUGCUUGUUCCCAUUUCUGCUUCUGCACAUCCAGGUAAGAGUGCAAAAUGCAACUCUGUUCUAUCCAAUGCCUGGAAAUAUAAGAGAGUAUUGUAAUGAACUGCCUUUGAGAAAAGUGAAGCCCAGAGGUAGCUUUAUCUCUGAAAUGGUCUGAGGUUCCCUUUGGGCAUCAGUGUUUCGAAAAAGGCCUCAAGUGAGACCAAAAUAUCUUUAAAGGGGAAGAACCAUUCCUGUUCCUCAUCUCAGGUCAUCAGCAUGGAAGUGCUCAAAUGUGUAGUUCCUUCCCUGCAAGGGCUGAGGAUCCGUCAGCCAUUGAGGGCACUUGCAUUCCCCUCACAACAAGGAUGUUUGUGUAACACGGGAAACAUUCCAAGGAGGAGCAUGUAGAUGGAUACAUUAGAUGGUAGCCUCUCUACCUGAAGCACAGGUGUAUAGUCUCUUUUGAAAUGAAAUAAAAUAAGAAACAAUAAGUGUAUUGAAACUCAUUGUCUGAAAAGCAGUACCUACUUCUGUUACACAUAGUGGAAUUUACUAUUUUCUUUAUCAUUUUUAAAUAUGAAAAGUGCAGUAUAUAUUUGACCAUAGUAACUUCACAGCAGUUUUAUUAGAUUGGGACUAUAAUUUCCAUGUUGUAUAUUUGUUCAAUUAUUUACAAUAAGUAAAAUCCACAACUAAAGCCUUUCAAUCUUAAUCCCUUGAAGGAAAUAUAACAAAUGUUCAAAGCUGAAUCUCAGGACAUGAUUGUCCAUUUAUACUUUGAUAUGCCAUUUGUGACAUUGGCAUGAAGAAUCAAGUAAUAAUCUGCCCCAGAGGAGCACUUUGAGCAAAGAAAAUUACUGACUGGGCAGAGUAUAGUCAAACAUAAUGUAAUUUAUUUUCGUGUUAGAGGCUUUCUGGUGUAGAUAUUGAGAAUAUAUCUAUAGAAAUGCUCUCCUGUGUGACUGGGUGUGGAAUCACUUUCAAAGACCAUGAGCAAAAGUGUUGGACUGCGGUUGUUCCCACUGCUCUCUCACAGCUCGUUCCACUCUGAGGGAUUCCCCUCUCUCUUCUCUCAUGAUGUACCUUGGAAUGACACUUCUCAGAUUCCUCAGAAAUUCUUACUCUAUCUAUCCAAGGUGACCAAAGUUCAUGGAACAAGAUGGUAGCCUCCCUUCCACAGUGCUCGUGGAAAUGGCCUGAGGCCGUGGCUCUAGAUUCAGGGUUAUUGAGACAGGUCCUGUGACUUUAGUUAAAGCUCCCCUUCACCCUACAUGCUGUGGCAUCACUGUUUCCUCUUCAGUACACCUGAGGCUGAAAGUUGAUGCUGUCUGAGAUUCCUGCUUCUCCUCCACACUGGGCUUUUCCCAGUGCCCAGCCACUUUUCCCUUGUUCUGGAAUAUGAGUGAAAGACAGGGUGUUUCCGUGCAAGGGUCUGUUCCUUCCAGCAGCAGUCUGUUUCUGAAUGUGUAACAUGAAUGCAAAGCACAUCCUUCACAGGAUGUAGGAAAAGCCUUCCCUGUGUUCUUGCUGCAGAUGAUCAGGAGGAAAGUGGCUGGUGUCAGCAACCUCUCGGUGGGGCAGGCCAGGGACCCUAUGUCCUCCUUCGCAGGGUGGACUGCAUGUUCCAGAGGGUCUCUUGUACCCCGUGGAUGUGACUUCCUCUUCCACCAGGUUAAAGCUCAACCCUGUAGCUCUUUUCCCCCAGGGGACCUGCUGGGUCCUGACUCCUGUCACCACUGAGCGGAACAUCCAGGAGCAACUAUCAUCAGGACCUGACCAAGACUCUUGCUUGCUUUCUCUCUCCCUCUCUCAGAUACUGAGAAUGGCUGAAAGGAAGAAAAGACAUUGCUGAAGAAGAGAACUGAAACAUGAAGCCUAGUUUUUCCACUUCAUCAAAAAAAAUAGAAAACAGAAACUCAAUUUAAAGUCUGAAGAGAACACUGGAGUGAUUCCUUGUGAUCACUGAAUUUCAAAGCCCCUAAUUUCUCUUGAUGGUUUUCACUCCAACAGCCCAGUUGUAUUGGAUAAAUUCCAAUUCCUUGCCUCUGAUUUUGUGAAAUACCUGUGAAGAUUAAGACCUAAAUUUACAGAGCCAACAGAGAGACCUUAUUUCUGGUCCACUUAAUUCCCACUCUGCAUAAGACCAAAGGCAACAGCAGCUGGAUGAAGACAGCAAGGCCAGGUGGGCACUGCUUCCCACUGUGAUGCGUUAUGAGCGGGCAGUUGUAGCUAUGCAGUGUUUUCCUGAGGUGCUCAGCCUGGGUGUAACACAAGGAAACUGUCAGACAGAUGAAUAGUGUAGACCUAUGACCAGGAGAGCUGACAGCUUUUCCUCAGUCCAUGUCACCACAAGUACAGGACAAAAUGAAGAGGAGACACUUGCUUUUGAAAAACAUCCAUCACAUAUAUAUGUACAGUGGUACCUGGGUUCAUGAACUUAAUUCUCUCUCUGAUUCUGGUCACCAGCUGAAUUGGAUGAGGACCAAAUCAAAUUUCCUUAUAAGGUUAACAUUGAACCUGACUGCUGAAUUUGAUUUGGUUCUUGUCCAAUUCAGUUUGCAGCCAUAAUCGUGGAAAGAAUUAAGUUCAUGAACCGAGAUACCCCUGUAUAUCUUAUUUACUCAAAAAUAAAAUCUAGCCAGGAAGGAGUCAGCCUUGGGAACUAGAGAUCACAAAUGCCAGCCCCAAUCAGCUUAUCCUUGCCUUCGCUGCCUUCACUAUUCUCUUGCUCCAUGGCUGCUCCGGAAGGCAAGGAUAAGCUGAUUGGGCUGGCAGUUUUGAUCUCUAGUUUUCAAGGCUGAUUAUUUUCUGGCCAGGUCUUAUUUUCAGGGAGAAAAGGUAUGUUAGUGCUUUUGAAACGCAAACCUCUCCUCUCCUUUUUGUCCUCACAUUUGUAGGUGAAAUUGACUUGUGUGUAGAGGACAGGUCAGUUGUUGUCUGACUCCUGGCCUAUAUUUGGCUGCUGUGUGACUAUUUCUUCGGGAUUAAACUCAGCCUAAACAUAUAGCCAAAAACACCAGGCAGCAAGCACACAUAGUACCCCACACUUCCUGCCACUUUCUGCCUGCAGGCAGUGUCCACUUUGUAUAUCGCCCUUUACUUCCUGUUGGCUCUGGUCACCUGGCAAAGGAGGCAUCCUCUGGAGCUGUCCAGGGGGUAGACACAUUGUGCCCUCAAUAAUUCUGAAGCGGUUUCUAGGCAGCUAUUUUGAGAAAGUGAAAAACAUCUUAUUUUCCAGUGGUUUUUCUUUAAAAACGUUGCCAGCUUAUAUCGUCGCUACCUGCAUAAAUUGUUAUACCUGGACAUAUCCUGGCCAUUGGGUAAUUCAGUGUUUCCUGUUUAUCAGUUUUCUGGCAUUCUGAUAAAAAACCCCACCGUCUCCUUGAGUUUUAAUUUUAAUCCAAAGCUGAUAUUCACAUCAAUAAUUAAAACAUUUUUGUUUUUCAGUAUGGACUCAUGGAUGUUUUUAUAUUCAAUGUUAUAACAUUUUAUUACUACUAUCAAUUUGAUGAAUAAGGGUAAAAAUCAAUAUAAACUCUGUCAUUUUACUACUUGGAGUCUACAUUCUUCCAUAUCUUUUAAAUUGCAUUUAUUAUAUGUGAUAGAUUAUAUUACUUGUAGUUCUGUCUUUUUGUUAUUUGUGUGUGUUCUGUUUGGCAUUUAGGAAAUAUUGUUUAGCUCAUUUUUAACAUUAGUGUAAAAUAUCUUUGACAAUUUUAGUUUCCUUUACCUGGAAAAUAUCUAAUAUGUGGCUUAUGAAUUUGACAUGAUAUUUUUCAAACUCAAAGGUUGAUGGUCAGUGACGUUAUUCAUUAUCUUCAUUUCUACUCACUAUAUCUGCCACUAGAGUGUCAUUUCACCCAUUCAAAUAUAUUCCAAGUACAUUUUUCC